rnacentral:rRNA from 1 species
UAUACCGUGAAACUGCGAAUGGCUCAUUAAAUCAGUUAUCGUUUAUUUGAUAGUACCUUACUACAUGGAUAACCGUGGUAAUUCUAGAGCUAAUACAUGCUGAAAACCCCAACUUCGGGAGGGGUGUAUUUAUUAGAUAAAAAACCAACGCCCUUCGGGGCUCCUUGGUGAUUCAUAAUAACUUUACGGAUCGCAUGGCCUUGCGCCGGCGACGGUUCAUUCAAAUUUCUGCCCUAUCAACUUUCGAUGGUAAGGUAUUGGCUUACCAUGGUUUCAACGGGUAACGGGGAAUUAGGGUUCGAUUCCGGAGAGGGAGCCUGAGAAACGGCUACCACAUCCAAGGAAGGCAGCAGGCGCGCAAAUUACCCAAUCCCGAUACGGGGAGGUAGUGACAAUAAAUACUGAUACAGGGCUCUUUUGGGUCUUGUAAUUGGAAUGAGUACAAUUUAAACCUCUUAACGAGGAACAAUUGGAGGGCAAGUCUGGUGCCAGCAGCCGCGGUAAUUCCAGCUCCAAUAGCGUAUAUUAAAGUUGUUGCAGUUAAAAAGCUCGUAGUUGAAACUUGGGUCUGGCUGGCAGGUCCGCCUCACCGCGUGUACUUGUCCGGCCGGGCCUUCCUUCUGGAGAACCUCAUGCCCUUCACUGGGCGUGUUGGGGACCAGGACUUUUACUUUGAAAAAAUUAGAGUGUUCAAAGCAGGCCUUUGCUCGAAUACGUUAGCAUGGAAUAAUAGAAUAGGACGUGCGGUUCUAUUUUGUUGGUUUCUAGGACCGCCGUAAUGAUUAAUAGGGACAGUCGGGGGCAUCAGUAUUCAAUUGUCAGAGGUGAAAUUCUUGGAUUUAUUGAAGACUAACUACUGCGAAAGCAUUUGCCAAGGAUGUUUUCAUUAAUCAGUGAACGAAAGUUAGGGGAUCGAAGACGAUCAGAUACCGUCGUAGUCUUAACCGUAAACUAUGCCGACUAGGGAUCGGGCGAUGUUCUUUUUUUUGACUCGCUCGGCACCUUACGAGAAAUCAAAGUU